UCUAAAACAAUGGGAAAUUUUUCUUGUACGGAUUGAGUAGAUGAACGUUGUUCUGUGGCAAGACGCCAUAAUUUUGUAUAUACGCGCUAGUCGUAAGCCUGAUAUUAAUUAUUCGAUCUUGCGUUCUUUGUUUCCCUAUUUCUCGAUCUUUCCAUUCUUUACUUCCUUAUCGGUGGGGGGCAACACUUUUCCGAGAACGAAGGGAGAAGAAUAAAGAGAGAGCACCCCGAGGCAUGUGGGGUGAGGAGAUAACGGUCAUUCUUGAAGGGGACUCAAGAGCGAGCGGAAGGUGAGCUAGGAGUUCAAGAUUGCCGUUACGAAGAAGAGAAGGACGACGAAUUGUCUAUCCAAUCGAGAGAAGAACUGAGUAUAUUCUGGUCAAGAAAUAUAUAUAUAUCGGCGGACUAGAAUACGGUUUUCCCCUCAACUGGAAGACAUCAUACCACAUCGGAAAUUUGUUUUGAGUAUCUGGCAACACUGCACAUUACAGUUCCCGUCAAUCGUUUGUCGGUUCUACGAUAGAGGCGGAAAUUUCGAAGUUAAAACGUAUGACACCACAAUGAGGGGAAAAGUUUGGAAGAAAUAGGAGAUAUGUUCAACAUUUCCACACGAGCUGUCCAGUGCAUUAUAAAAUUAUCCUGGGACGCUGGUUCCGUGUCACCGGGGAAAGCGAUGGGCCAUGAACGUCAGAUGACGGAAGCGGAGGAUGCUCGCCUGCAGCCAGGAGAACCCAUUCAAGACGGUAGCAACACUCCAAAGGGAUUUAAACGUAUCGACGCGUACUGUAAGAAGAAGGUUACGAUAAGGUAAUUUGUUUGGGCGGAGGGCAGCCAUAAAACAGGUGUUGACAAUAGCAAACCAAUAAGAUUGUCUGGGGUUUGCCAAAGUGUAUCUCCGAUGGACCACAAAUGAUUGGUCAUCGGUGAUAUUUACUGAUGAGAAAAUAUUUUCCUCAGACUCCAGCGGGCCUGUGUGGGUCUUCGCCCACCAUCUACUAGCUAUAACCCUGAAUAUGUGUGGCGCACCCAAAGAAGUGGGCAUUUUUCGAUUGAUGUAUGGGGAUGGAUGACCUCUGCUGGACCCGUGGGGUUGGUCUGCGUAGAUGGUCACCUCACUGUUGUGCAAUACAUCAAAAUCCUCGAGCAGGUGUUGUUGCUGACGGUGAGGGCCGUCUAUGGAGAACACGACAGCUUCCCUGUACACACAGCCAACAUGUGUGUAGACAGUGGAUAGAUGAGCAUCCACAAAUUAUCGACAUGGGAUGGCUGGGGAGGGGAGCAGACCUCAAUCCCAUUGAACAAUUGUAAUAUAAUAUAUAAUAUAAUUAACCCAUUGAACAUGUUUGGGCCGAGCUCUGUUGCGACCCCGUUCAGGUGACAAAUCCCAACGACCUCUGGGAAAUUGUCAGCGGUUGUUGGGAAAAGUUUCAUGAGGGCGUACUCUGCCAAAAUCUUGUGGCAAGUGUGCCUCAACGACUGAAUGAGGUCGUGGACAAGGUACUUGAUCCUCUCCCCUCCAUCUGCGAUGUUUAAACUUGUCAUUUUACCAGACAUUUUGUAAAUAAGUUUUUGUAAAUACGUAUUGUAAAUAGUUUUUUGUAAAUAAAUG
rnacentral:lncRNA from 1 species